rnacentral:rRNA from 1 species
AGCAGCCGCGGUAAUUCCAGCUCCAAUAGCGUAUAUUAAAGUUGUUGCAGUUAAAAAGCUCGUAGUUGAACUUCAGACCUGACCGGGCGGUCCGCCUAACGGUGUGUACUGUCUGGCCGGGCCUUACCUCUUGGUGAGCCGGCAUGCCCUUCACUGGGUGUGUCGGGGAACCAGGACCUUUACCUUGAGAAAAUUAGAGUGUUCAAAGCAGGCUUACGCCGGAAUACAUUAGCAUGGAAUAAUAAAAUAGGACGUGCGGUUCUAUUUUGUUGGUUUCUAGAGUCGCCGUAAUGAUUAAUAGGGAUAGUUGGGGGCAUUUGUAUUGCGUUGCUAGAGGUGAAAUUCUUGGAUUUACGCAAGACAAACUAUUGCGAAAGCAUUUGCCAAGGAUGUUUUCAUUAAUCAAGAACGAAGGUUAGGGGAUCGAAAACGAUCAGAUACCGUUGUAGUCUUAACAGNAAACUAUGCCGACUAGGGAUCGGACGACCUCAAUAUUAAANGGCG